UACAGAGGGGGCAAGCGUUAUUCGGAAUUAUUGGGCGUAAAGGGCGCGUAGGCGGCCAUUCAAGUGACGGGUGAAAGCCCUCGGCUUAACCGAGGAACUGCCUGUGAGACUGGAUGGCUUGAGACCGGGAGAGGUGAGUGGAAUUCCCAGUGUAGCGGUGAAAUGCGUAGAUAUCAGGAAGAGCACCCGUGGCGAAGGCGGCUCUCUGGGACGGUACUGACGCUGAGACGCGAAAGCGUGGGGAGCGAACAGG
rnacentral:rRNA from 1 species